ACUGGGAGAACAUUAAACAGAAUAACAGAAAUACUGGAUGGUGAUUAUCUGUUAAAACUUGGCUUCUCUCAGCAAUGCAAUAAUCUGGGACAAUCCUGAAAGUCUUAUGACAGGGAAUGUUAUCCAUCUCUAGAGAAAGUUGGAGUCAUCUUUCACAUCAGUGUAUUUUUGGUUUUAGUUUGGGAUUUUGGUUAUUUAUGAGUUUGAUUUUAUGAAAAUGGCCAAUAUAGAAAUGUGAUUUGCAUGACAAUAAAAAUAUUCUUAAAAGGAAUGAAAGAAAAAAUUUAAUGUCCUAUGUAAUUAUCGAUUAGUGAAAUGUAAACCAACACAACUCAGAUAUUAUUUCACAACAAUAACUAUCAGUGCUAAGGCAGACUAGAAGUAAGGGUUAGGCAUUAGGUGUUAAGUGACUUGCCCAGGGUCACACAGCUAAAAGUGUCUGCAGUCAUAUUUGAACCCAGAACCUCCUAUUUCCAGACCUGGCUUUGUCCACUGAACCACCUACAUGCCUCACAGGGAAUGAAAUCUUCAAAAUACAAAGCUAAGGGGGAAAACACAUAAAUAAGUACACAGCUACAUGGUUCAGAUUUCAUUUACAAAGGAGUUUUAGCAGACUACUUCAUGAGUAACAAUCUUUCUUAGGGAAACUUUUCUUCUCCUCCUCGAUACAUCUUGUAAUAUAGUUAUGUAGUUGAAAAAUGAAUCUUCAAGACAAUGUCAUAAUUUAAUGCUAAUAAAAGCAUGUACAAAUUUUUUUAAAGACUAGAUGAUUUUUAUUACCUUGUCUUAUCUUUUAUUACCCUCUUCUAUUGUCUCUUUGGAAAUGAAGGAGUCAUCAGGACUGAUCAGUGUUUGAGAUGUUUGUCCAUUUUGUGUCUCAGUGGCUAAUCUUCUGAUGCUGGACUUCUCCCUACUUACCUUGGACAGCCCAUGAACAGAUACAAGGCCUCGGCGCCAGUUCGAUCCUGGAACUUGAGCCUGGAGGAGCUCCCUCAGACAGCUUCCUUGAGAUGGUCUCCUGGUGAGUGAUAAGACUGACUCCCUUUUCCCUUGGCUCUAAGGGGAGGCCCCUUGGCUUAGGCCUUGAACUCCUUCCUGGCUCAGCCUGAGCUGGAGCAGUUUAAAUUAACUCUUUCCUCUCUCUCUCUCUUUCUUAAAUUCUUUCCUCUAUAUUAAUUAAAAUCACCAUAAAUUUCCAGCUGAUUUGGGUAUUGUAUUUGGGAUAUCCCAUGGCGACCAAUAAUUAAAUAUAGUUUAGGCCACAGCACUAAAAUUAUCCUUACAGUGGGGAGCAAAAAACAAGACAAUGAAACUGGAUCACAGAGUACACGGUAGUAUGUGAAGUAUAAGAAAACUGGGAAGGUAGAAGGAAGGAGAUUGUGAAGGGCUAUGAAUUAGCUUUUCUAAAGGAUAUUUUUUCAAAUAUACAGCAAGAACGGAAGUAGAAACAUUCCCUCUCAAGUACUUUGAGGAAACACUCUCAUAAUAGCACUUUGGGCUCUAGGAAGAAUGGGCUCAGUUAUAACACAAUUUAAAUAGCAUCAGUCCCAACAAGAUCAUAGUCAUAUGUAACAUCACUGCUGAAAAAAGCCUUUGUCUCAGAUACUGCUAGGCUGGGUCUCAAAAGUCAGUCCUUGGGGUUUCGAAGAAUAUAGUAAUAUAUAGAAUACUUGUUGAUCUGUACUCGACUUCCCAACCAUUGGAUGUCUCAUUGUCCUGACCUUUCAAAUUCAAUA
ensembl:lncRNA